rnacentral:rRNA from 1 species
CCUACGGGAGGCAGCAGUGGGGAAUAUUGCGCAAUGGGCGAAAGCCUGACGCAGCGACGCCGCGUGAGGGAUGAAGGUCUUCGGAUCGUAAACCUCUGUCAGCAGGGAAGAACGGUCACUGUGCUAAUCAGCAGUGAAUUGACGGUACCUGCAAAGGAAGCACCGGCUAACUCCGUGCCAGCAGCUGCGGUAAUACGGAGGGUGCGAGCGUUAAUCGGAAUUACUGGGCGUAAAGCGCUCGUAGGCGGUAUGUCAAGUCAAGGGUGAAAUCCCCGCGCUCAACGUGGGAACUGCCUUGGAAACUGGCAAACUUGAGUGUGUGAGAGGAUAGUGGAAUUCGAGGUGUAGGAGUGAAAUCCGUAGAUAUCUCGAGGAACAUCAGUGGCGAAGGCGACUAUCUGGCACAUAACUGACGCUGAGGAGCGAAGGCGUGGGUAGCAAACAGGAUUAGAUACCCUUGUAGUC